AUGGUGUUCAUUUGUGCCACUAGUAUAGUAGAGCGAAGAAGCAUCUGGGUAUUAUCAAUUUGCUUUCUUCGGAUGUAUAAUCGAUCGAUUAAAAUGAUCCAUACGUCGACGGGGUCCCCGUGUUGUGUACAGGCGUGUCGUGCUGCUUCUGAUGGGUUGUCGGGGCAGCGACCGGUCGGCAUUGUUGUAUACAUAAACUAUAUCACAUCACAUAUAUUUUUUCCUUGUGUCUAUGGGCGCAUAAUUGUUUUAAUCUAUGGCCCAUUUGUGCAAAAUAGCUGUGGAUUAUCUCCUGGUACCUGA
rnacentral:rRNA from 1 species